CACAUGCAAGUCGAACGAGGUCCAUGCAGUGGCAACACUGCGGAAGACCUAGUGGCGAACGGGUGAGUAACACGUGAGGAACCUGCCCCGAAGACCGGGAUAACCCUCCGAAAGGAGAGCUAAUACCGGAUACCCCCACCUGAUCGCAUGAUCGGGUGAGGAAAUGGAUUCCGCUUCGGGAGGGCCUCGCGGCCUAUCAGCUUGUUGGUGGGGUAACGGCCCACCAAGGCAUCGACGGGUAGCUGGUCUGAGAGGACGAUCAGCCACACUGGGACUGAGACACGGCCCAGACUCCUACGGGAGGCAGCAGUGGGGAAUCUUGCGCAAUGGGCGAAAGCCUGACGCAGCAACGCCGCGUGGGGGAUGAAGGCUCUCGGGUUGUAAACCCCUUUCAGCAGGGACGAAUCAAGACGGUACCUGCAGAAGAAGCCCCGGCUAACUACGUG
rnacentral:rRNA from 1 species